rnacentral:rRNA from 1 species
GACGAACGCUGGCGGCGCGCUUAACACAUGCAAGUCGAACGGAAAGGCCUGCUUUCCCUUGUGGAUUGCGGGUACUCGAGUGGCGAACGGGUGAGUAACACGUGAGUGAUCUGCCCCCAACUUGGGUAUAAGCCUGGGAAACUGGGUCUAAUUCCCGAUAGGACUGCAGGGUGGUGCCUGUGGUGGAAAACGAUUUUCUAGUGGUUGGGGAUGAGCUCGCGGCCUAUCAGCUUGUUGGUGGGGUAAUGGCCUACCAAGGCGGCGACGGGUAGCCGGCCUGAGAGGGUGGACGGCCACGUUGGGACUGAGAUACGGCCCAGACUCCUACGGGAGGCAGCAGUGGGGAAUAUUGCACAAUGGGCGGAAGCCUGAUGCAGCGACGCCGCGUGGGGGAUGACGGCCUUCGGGUUGUAAACUCCUUUCGACCGCGAGGAAGCCACCUGGUUGGAAGGGUGGUGACGGUAGUGGUAGAAGAAGCACCGGCUAACUACGUG